rnacentral:rRNA from 1 species
UACGAGGGGGGCAAGCGUUGUUCGGAAUUAUUGGGCGUAAAGAGCUCGUAGGCGGUCUGUCGCGUCGGCUGUGAAAACCCGAGGCUCAACCUCGGGCCUGCAGUCGAUACGGGCAAACUAGAGUACUGCAGGGGAGACUGGAAUUCCUGGUGUAGCGGUGAAAUGCGUAGAUAUCUGGAGGAACACCGGUGGCGAAGGCGACAUCCUGGACCGGUAUUGACGCUGAGGCGCGAAAGCCAGGGGAGCAAACGGG